UACGUAGGGGGCAAGCGUUGUCCGGAUUUAUUGGGCGUAAAGAGCUCGUAGGCGGCUUGUCGCGUCGACUGUGAAAAACCCGCGGCCCAACCGUGUGGUCUGCAGUCGAUACGGGCAGGCUAGAGUUCGGUAGGGGAGACUGGAAUUCCUGGUGUAGCGGUGAAAUGCGCAGAUAUCAGGAGGAACACCGGUGGCGAAGGCGGGUCUCUGGGCCGAUACUGACGCUGAGGAGCGAAAGCGUGGGGAGCGAACAGG
rnacentral:rRNA from 1 species